rnacentral:rRNA from 1 species
AACGAACGCUGGCGGCAGGCCUAACACAUGCAAGUCGAGCGAAGCCUUCGGGCUUAGCGGCGGACGGGUGAGUAACGCGUGGGAACGUGCCCUUUGGUACGGAAUAGCCCCGGGAAACUGGGAGUAAUACCGUAUGUGGUCGAGAGACGAAAGAUUUAUCGCCAAAGGAUCGGCCCGCGUUGGAUUAGGUAGUUGGUGGGGUAAUGGCCUACCAAGCCGACGAUCAUAGCUGGUUUGAGAGGAUGAUCAGCCACACUGGGACUGAGACACGGCCCAGACUCCUACGGGAGGCAGCAGUGGGGAAUCUUAGACAAUGGGGGAAACCCUGAUCUAGCCAUGCCGCGUGAUCGAUGAAGGCCUUAGGGUUGUAAAGAUCUUUCCGUGGGGAAGAUAAUGACUGUACCCACAGAAGAAGCCCCGGCUAACUCCGUGCCAGCCGCCGCGGUAAUAC